AUGCUCGCCUCAGCAGCACACGUGCUAAAAUCGGAACGAUACAGAAAAGAUUAGCAUGGCCCCUGCACAAGGAUGACACACAAAUUUGCGAAGCAUUCCGUAUUUUG
rnacentral:snRNA from 1 species